UACAGUUUAGAUCCUGGCUCCCGUUUAAAGCUGGCGGUCUGCUUAACACAUGCAAUUCGAACGGAUUGUUUCGGCACUUAUUGGCGGACGGUUGAGUAACGCGUGAGAUUCUGGCUUCUAGAGAGGGAUAACAGUUGGAAACGACUGCUAAUACCCCUUAUGCCUAAGGGUGAAAGGAUUAAUUGCCUGAAGAAGAGCUCGCGUCAAAUUAUGUAGUUGGAGUGGUAAGGGCACCCCCAGCCUACUAUUU
rnacentral:rRNA from 1 species